GCAGACACAGGUUUCUCUCCCUCCGACCUGAGCCUUGCUCUCAAGAGAGAGCGCCUGGAAUGAUUCUGCCUCAGCCUGCCUGUCCAGCCCUGAGGACUCCACCCAGGAACCGGGAAAUGUCAGAAGCCCCUCUGUCCCAUCUUCCCCAGGCAGCCUCAGCACGGGGACUAUACCUGCACACAGAGGGUGCUCAACCAAUAUCUGCUGAAGGAGUAAACUUGGAGCUCAGGAGGCUGCCUUCCUUUCUUUCCCAGAGCAAAGGCAGAUGACAAGAAUGCCGACACAUCAG